GAUGAACGCUGGCGGCGUGCCUAAUACAUGCAAGUCGAGCGAACGGACGAGAAGCUUGCUUCUCUGAUGUUAGCGGCGGACGGGUGAGUAACACGUGGAUAACCUACCUAUAAGACUGGGAUAACUUCGGGAAACCGGAGCUAAUACCGGAUAAUCUUUUGAACCGCAUGGUUCAAUAGUGAAAGACGGUCUUGCUGUCACUUAUAGAUGGAUCCGCGCUGCAUUAGCUAGUUGGUAAGGUAACGGCUUACCAAGGCAACGAUGCAUAGCCGACCUGAGAGGGUGAUCGCCCACACUGGAACGUAGACGCGGUCCUGGCGCCUACGGGACGCACCAGUAGCGUACCGUCCGCAAUGGGCGAAAGCCUGACGGAGCAACGCCGCGUCAGAGAUGAAGGCCCUCGGAUCGGAAAGCUCUGUUAUUAGUGAAAAACAGAUGUGUCAGUAACUGAGCACAUCUUGACGGUACCUAGUCAAGAAGCCACGGCUAACUACGUG
rnacentral:rRNA from 1 species